UACGAAGGGGGCUAGCGUUGCUCGGAAUGGCUGGGCGUAAAGGGCGCGUAGGCGGUUCGUACAGUCAGACGUGAGAUUCCCGGGCUCAACCUGGGGGCUGCGUUUGAUACGUGCGGGCUUGAGUUCGGAAGAGGGUCGUGGAAUUCCCAGUGUAGAGGUGAAAUUCGUAGAUAUUGGGAAGAACACCGGUGGCGAAGGCGGCGACCUGGUCCGAUACUGACGCUGAGGCGCGAAAGCGUGGGGAGCAAACAGG
rnacentral:rRNA from 1 species